rnacentral:rRNA from 1 species
AUGAAGAAAUAUGCAGAUUGCAAGCGAGUUGGAAGGACUCUCGCAGUAGGUGACAAUGGUUUACUUGAAGCUUCAACCAUAUCGUCUGAAUGCUUUCGGCCUUCUCUCUCACAUCAAGCUGCAAAGCAAGUUUUACGGACCAUUUCGAGUACUGUAUCAUGUGGGCAACGUGACAUAUCACCUGUAGCUGCAAACAUGGGUAUCCACCCAGUGUUCCACAUCAGCCAGCUGAAGAAACACAUCGGACCCAAUGCAGUUCCCUGUGCUGAUUUACCUCUAGGUGAUCCUGAAGAGCGUACCAGAACUGAACCUGGUAUCGUAUUUCAGACCCAACAGAUCCCUCGCAACAAUCGACCGGUUGUCCAAUGGCUUGUACAAUGGGAGAAUUUUCCACUGGAUGAUGCAACUUGGGAAGAUGUGGAUUUCAUGAAGCAUACAUUCCCAGCCUUUUUCCAAGAAGACAGUCGAAGCAUGGCAAAGUCAACCUUCAGCUACUUGAAGGCAAGAUCGCGCUCGCAAGGGGGCAUUGUCAGACUGAACUUGCAAGGUGUUCUAGUGUUCAGUUAA